ensembl:lncRNA
UCCUUGUUUGAUUCUUCAACACUGCCUUCUGUGUUGUUGGUAGGACCAGUUAUUUCUCUUUUGUGUUCGUCAGCACUGCAUUCUGUUUUUAGGGUAGGACCAGUUUUGUCUUUGAGGGGCUCUUCCGCACUGCAUUCUGUGUCCUGGGUAGGACCAGUUCUGUCUUUGAGGAGCUCUUCAGCACUGCAUUCUGUGUUCUGGACAGGACCAUCAGUUUUGUCUUUCCUGUGUUCUUCAGCACUGCAUUCUAUUUUUUGGGUAGGACCAGUUCUGUCUUUGAGGAGCUCUUCAGCAGCACAUUCUGUGUUCUGGACAGGACCAUCAGUUUUGUCUUUCCUGUGUUCUUCAGCACUGUAUUCUGUUUUUAGGGUGGGACCAGUUCUGUCUUUGAGAAGUUCUUCAGCACUGCAUCCCGUGUUCAAGGUAGGACCAGUUUCAUCUUUCACCUGUUCAGCACUGCAUUCUGUGUUCAAGGUAGGACCAGUUUCAUCUUUCACCUGUUCAGCACUGCAUUCUGUGUUGAGGUUAGGACCAGUUUUGUCUUUCCUGUGUUCUUUUUCAACGCUGCAUUCUGUGUUGAGGGUAGGACCAGUUUUGUCUUUCCUGUGUUCUUCUUCAGCACUGCAUUCUUUGUUUAAGGUAAGAUCAGUUGUGUCUUUCCUGUGUUCUUCUUCAGCACUGCAUUCCGUGUUCUGGGUAAGACAGGUGCUGUCUGUUAUGCGUUCAUCGCUUUUUAAAACGCACACAUUUUCAUCUUCUGUGCUAAUGAUAUUUAAGCUUUGAUCUUGAGGAUCUGAGAGACCCCUCUCCUGCAGGCUACCAUCAUCUGCCACAUUAUUCACAUUACCGCUUGAACUCUCACAAUCUGACUCAUGGGGUUCCCUGUUGUCAUAAUCUGUGGUGUUUGCCGUUUCUUCAUCACCUGCUGUCGAUGCACUAGGCAAACUGUCAGUAUGCAGUGAUGUAGACGUAUCUUUUUCCAAUUCAUUCCUUUCCUUAACAUGCUCUAUCUUUUGACAUUCUAAAGACAGGCCAGGCUUUUCUUCGUUAAUGUCAUUUGAAGGGCAUUCAAAGUCCGCCUCAGAGCAGCUGCUAACAUCUGAGUAACCGUCAAUACCAGCCAACAAACCAGUACUUAGUCCUGUCAAAAUUGAUUUGGCAGUCAAAGCAGAGGAUUCUUUUUUUGUGAUACCAGGCUGAUUUGUUUUGAUAUCCUCUGACUGACCUUCCGUGCACUCGACCAGUUUCCCUCCUUCUUGCCAUGGUGGUUCAUGGCAUGUACUCUGGAGUAAAUCGGGUUUAGGUCUUAAACAGUUUGAUGUUGGAAAUGUUUCAGAAACCACCAUAUUCGAAAGGUUCUCUUCUGCAGUAUGCUCAUCAAUACGUUGUCCAAAGCUCUCCUCAGACUCUGACACUCUUAAAGCCUCUGUAUCAGAUGGAGUCUCAGAAUCAUGAUCUGUGUUCCAUCCAUGAGCCAUUGUUUAUGUGGAGUGUUCAGUAAACACCAGCAGAUCUCUUUAGUUCCUGAAAAACAGAUGAAAAGUAAAAAGUGAAAAAGUUGAAUCAACUGCAUUUCUAACAGUUUAAUGAAAGAACAGAUGAGCAUAGUAAGCCAAUACUCACCCAACUGCAUUCAGCCGAAUCAGUGGGAAGGUUGCACUUCACUUGUUUGAAGAACUGAAUGAAAGAGAAAGAAAGCCAAUUAAGCAUUUUAAAUCAUUGACAGCAAUCUUAAAAUCCUAAAAAU